rnacentral:piRNA from 1 species
UCCAGGUGUGACACAGGAAGUAGAAGAUGU